UAGGGAGGCAAGGCCAGACCCUUGCCUCCCUGGCCAGCGAGACUAGCUUGGAAGAGAAAGAAAGAAUCUAUCAAGAGUGGAUCACGUGAUAUUGUCCUCUCUGAUCUGGUAAAGGAGGAGUUAGUAAGAAUACAGUAACACGUCAAAUAGCACUGGGACUAGUUGAAGAAGGAAAGAAAGUUGGUAUAUUGGAUAUUGAUUUAUGUGGUCCUAGUAUACCUCACAUGUUUUCAUUAACUGGUAGAGAUGUACUUCAAGGGACUGAUGGUUGGAUUCCAGUAUAUGUUGAUGAUACUCAAA
rnacentral:lncRNA from 1 species